rnacentral:rRNA from 1 species
GGCAGACGGGUGAGUAACACGUGGGCAACCUACCCUGAAGUGAGGAAUAACCUGCCGAAAGGCGGGCUAAUACCGCAUAACUUCCUUGAGACACAAGUUUCGAGGAUCAAAGCCCGAAAGGGCGCUACAGGAGGGGCCCGCGCCUGAUUAGCUAGUUGGUAAGGUAACGGCUUACCAAGGCUACGAUCAGUAGCCGGCCUGAGAGGGUGAACGGCCACACUGGAACUGAGACACGGUCCAGACUCCUACGGGAGGCAGCAGUGGGGAAUUUUGCGCAAUGGGCGAAAGCCUGACGCAGCAACGCCGCGUGGGUGACGAAGUCCCUUGGGACGUAAAACCCUGUCGGAUGGGACGAAAAGGCCCGCAAGGGAACUGACUGUACCAUCAAAGGAAGCCCCGGCUAACUCCGUGCCAGCAGCCGCGGUAAUACGGGGGGGGCAAGCGUUGUUCGGAAUUACUGGGCGUAAAGGGCGUGUAGGCUGCCCGGCAAGUCAGUUGUGAAAUCCCCAGGCUCAACUUGGGAAUUGCAACUGAAACUGCCAGGCUAGAGUUCUGGAGA